rnacentral:rRNA from 1 species
AUUGAACGCUGGCGGCAGGCCUAACACAUGCAAGUCGAGCGAGCGGCGGACGGGUGAGUAAUGUAUGGGGAUCUGCCCGAUAGAGGGGGAUAACUACUGGAAACUGUAGCUAAUACCGCGUACCAUAGGAUGAGCCCAAGUGGGAUUAGGUAGUUGGUGAGGUAAAGGCUCACCAAGCCGACGAUCUGUAGCUGGUCUGAGAGGAUGACGAGCCACGCUGGGAUUGAGACAAGGCCCAGACUCCUAAGGGGGGCAGCAGUGAGGAAAAUUGCGCAAUGGGGGCAACCUGACGCAGCCAUGCCGCGUUAAUGAAGAAGGCCUUCGGGUUGUAAAGUUCUUGCGAUAGCGAGGCGUUAACUACAGAAGAAGCACCGGCUAACUCCGUGCCAGCAGCCGCGGUAAUAC